UGUGUGUGUGUGUGUGUGUGUGUGUAGCUGGGGGGGGGUGCGCUCUCUGCUCUGGUUGAAGCUCUUCAGUCUCUCGGUCUGACAGAAGGAGUUCGACUGCUGAGAGACAAACAGCUGCAGGAGGACAAACACAACACAGACGCCACGGUUGACAGCGGCUUCGGCAGCCAGCCAAUGGAUGAAGAGGAGGAGCCGCCUGUGGCCAAUCAGUGACGAGCAGUUUCGGUACCAGAACUCUUUAGGAACCAGAACUCUUUAGGAACCAGGACUCUUCAAGAACUGGACUCUUCAAGAACCAGAACUCUUUAGGAACCGGAACUCUUUAGGAACUGGACUCUUCAAGAACCAGGACUCUUUAGGAACCAGAACUCUUCAAGAACUGGACUCUUUAGGAACCAGGUGUCUUUAGGAACUGGACUAUUCAAGAACCAGAACCCUUUAGGAACAAGACGUGGUUUCUGUCCUCUCCAGGACCUGGAGUCGGACCCAUAGAUGGUAACUCCUGUGACGUCAGAAGUUUUAGCGUUUUACCCCAAAAAACCCACCUUUUUAACAUUUAAAAAAGGAAUUUCAGUUUUUAAAGAUACAGUACACAUUUUAACAUGAACUAUAACUGUUUACAAAGCUUGCAUCUUCAGUUCCUAGGAAAGUAGUGAGAUUUCCAGUUUUUGUGUUGGUUCAUGAAUGCAGCACGGACUUCAUUGGUGCGGAACACGGUUCGUAAGAAAGUCUCAAAAAGUGUGGAAAUAUUAUAAAAGUAAAAUUGUUAUUAAAAACUCAACAUUGUGGGCUUUUAUUGUGAAGAUUACAAUGAAUUCCUUUAAUACAAAUAUUGGCUUUGUUUAAGAGUUAGUUAAAAGCUAAAAGUCAAUUCAACAAAACAAGUUAAAAAGAUGAUAUUAAAUCCAAACGUUAAAUGAAGUUGAAAGAUAAAAUAUAUAAUAACUCAGAUAAACGACUUCAUUUUGAGUGUUUUUUAUUUGAGCUUUGAUUUAAAACAUUAAGAUGUUUAAUUAAUGAGGACUUAAAGAUAAUUUCUCCGUUACUUUCAGAUGAACAUGUUUUUACUAAUACUGUGUGAAAGAGUAUAUUCUGUAUUUAACGAGACGAGCGCUGCAACUGUUUCUGAGACUUUAAAUAAAAACUGACUCUUGUUGUUUUUGAAAUGUUUUUAUUUUUGCCUCUAAGCCUUCAACAUGGUACAAACAGGAAGUCUGUGUUUCACUACGGGCCUCACAGGAAGUGGAGGGUAUGUACAGCUAUCAACAAAACAAACAUUCACAGAAACUAAAGAAUAAAUAACGUCUGCUUUAAAUCUAACCAGCAGCUAAACGUCCGGCCGACUUCAGGAUGGCUUCAACUUUAUUUACAAACACGGACACAGCUGGAAGCGGCCAUGACUCUUAGACGGUUCAUCCUAUGCUGCUUACAUUGCAGAGCGACAAAUACACCCGAAUACACAACUGGAUAUUAGAGGAGUAAAUACGACACGAGGUUAUUGGAGACGAAGAGGAGCGACGUCCCGUUCUCGUCUCCAACGUUCUCUCAGAGUCGAGGAGUGUUCGGGAAAUGUGCGGGUUUUCCAAAGUAAAAGGAGUUGAUCAUCGAUGUGUAACACGGAAUUAACUUCCUAUGAAAGUUGGGUUUUGGAGGUAUUACGUUUCCUGGAUCUUCCUAACACACGGGCGGGAAAACAAGCGCCUCGUUUAACGCAUUUAAGACUUAGGUUUGAACGUCACAAACACUUUUCACCCCAAACUGAUGUUUUCUGAACCUAAACACGUAAAGCUUUCGGGUCAGACCCUUCUUCUGCGGCGGACUACGUUUGUUUUUGCUGCGUCCACAAACAGAUCAAAUGUGAACGUCCCGCGUCAAACCAAUUUAGGUUACUAACGUAACUUAGUUCUCGUAACAAGCUCACUGAUGUCAGCGCAAACCGUGAUGUUUUCCUUAAUCUAAAUACCUGCUGUCUGCUAAGCUCUAACAAAGAAGGAUAUUUUCCUGUUUCAGCAAAACGUACAUUUUUCAAAACUCCAUAAAAUCGUGUUUCCAUGUGGACGAGUUUCAGAUUUGACCAUUUGAAUUCCUGCAUAUCCACAAGAAGAAUGGCUAGUUACGUGUUUGUUAACCUCUUAAUGCAUCCAUAGCUAUGGAAGAGUUAUAAAGUCUGCAUAGGGAGGAGCGCUGAUGUCCCGCGUAUUAAAGCUUAGGUUACUAACGUAACUUAGUUCUCCAGACAAACUCACUUAUUUGAACCCAAACCGUGAUGUCCCUCUAAACGUAACCACGUGGUUUUGUUUGAAUUCACCACGUUGCUGCUAAAGGUGUGAAGUGUUUGUGAGUGGAGCGUUGGGACUCAGCUUGAGGCGUUACAAGGCCUGAUGGGAAAUGUAGUCCAUGAACUGACUCCUGUCUGUGACCGGGAGUUUAAACAAAAAGCUCCGAUGUGGUUUAUGUCGGACGUCAAAAGUGGAAAACUGAUUUAAGAUGGUCUUAUUGGAGAAGUCCUUGAAGUCGAACAACAAAGUUAGUGUUUAUCAAAUCGAGUGUUGAGAAACUCUCACGGCGAGGUCACAUGACAACGUACUUCGGACCAUGGCGUAAACAAACACAUUAAAUAUGGUUCGAAGCCUCCGUAGUUUCAGUUCUCUCAGUACCUUUGAAACCUUGGUUUCUACAUCAUCGUUUUAAAGAGUUUUUAAAGGGUUCUUAGUCCGAUGACCCACACAUUGAUCCAGCAUCAGGUUCCAGCGUUUCACAAACAGCUGGAAAACUUUACAAAACAAAAAAAACUUAAAACAAACUCAAAAAAUAAAUCUUCAAGUUUCCCCUCAGUGCGAUCGGGACACAGAUUAUUGAUCAGGGUUUCAAAAAAAGUUGCAUUUCAAAAAUAAUGUCAGCAUUAUUAAACAUUUAUACACAAUAUUUAUAAAACCGUGAAGAAGAAGAGCAGUUUUCUCUCUACUGCCACCUGGUGACCACUUCCUGCCAGUAAUCGUGAGGCUUUCAGAAACACUGAAUCCACACAACCCCCCACUUAUAACGUUAUUUUUAAUUUGAAACUAAGUGUCGGAAUAGACUCGUCUCCAAGUGGCAGCAGCAGAAAACUUCAUCACCCAGAAGCCCCAGCCUUAUUUAAUGUUCAUUUCCUUUAACAAAAAUAUGAAACACUUCUGAACAAAAACAAAGAAAGAUAAUAAUUCAUAAACUUUAGGUUAGAACAGGAAUGUGGAAAGAGGACGGACUCCAGCGACGAGAGGAAGAG